CCUCAGGUACUGAGGAGUCCUUGUGGAAUUCCCCUUUGGAGUUGAGAGUUUCACAAGUUGUACAAUCACAAGGAGGGCACCUGUCUCUAAAUUCUAUGGCAGUACUGGCUGUGCCUGAGAAACCUCCUGCCACUCAAGCCCAGCAAGUCUUAUGAAGCAAGCUGCCUACAGAGAUGUCCAUGUGUCAGGAAACUGAAGCUGGCUCAUGGUCAGCAGCCAGCAAGCUACAAAGGGCUUCCAACAGCCCAUAAAGCACUGAGUCCUGCCAAAAGCCACGUGCAUGAGCUUAGAAGAGCUUCAUCCUCCAGGCUAGGAAAGAGACAGUCAGUGUGCAGCAAGAGAAAAGAGAGGAGGAAACAUGUGGAAAGACCCAAAGAAUGAAGACACAAGAGCAUGUCUGAAUGCAGUGGGAAGUAGAUCAGUUGACCUUUGCUGAAUAACAAGUGGACCUAAAACUGGGUGACUUGAAACAGCCCAUAAUCCUGUGGACCUAAAGGAUGAUGUAUGAAGUGGACAUGAUGAUGUUGUUCAUGAUCUGCCUACCUCAUAUGGUGGAAGCAAAAAAUCAAGUGAGAUUACAUAUGUUAAAAGACUCCAUUGUAGGUGCAGAACACACUUUAUUUACAUAGUUAACCAUUUAUCUUUCUGUCAGCCUUCUAGUUUCUUUUUUUGUAUAAAAGCUUCCCAGAUGUCCCUAGACCAUUUCAAAACCUUGUAGAUCUACUAAGUAAGUUCAUUUAUUGAUGCAAAAAAUGUUUAUUGUACACCCCUACAUCUCAGGCACUGGCGAUUUUGUACAAACAAUACAGAUGAGAUUCAGGCUGUCAUGGAACCUACGUUCUAGUAGGGUGUCCACAGGCACUAUACAAACUAGAAAAUAAUUGAGCAGAUUAAGCAAAAUAAGUUCAGAUAUAGUCAAUUUCUAGGAAGAAAAUAAAAAAAAAAAGGGAUGUGACAGAAACUGACCUAUAUGAGUUGUCCUAGAGGCAGUGGUGAAGACAAAAAUCAUUCAGAACAAGUGCUCCUGAAGUUGAGACCCAAAUGAUGGGAAGGAUGAACAAAGUUGGGGUGUUUAAGGCACAGCAGGAAGGCCAGUGAGCAAGAGAGAUGGAGGUCACAGUGGAAGUCAGAGAGGAAGGCAGGAUCAGGGAAGACUUUGCGGGCCAGGUCAAAAGUUUCUAUUUGAUUUCAAGAGGAAAAAAGAGGCAUUGGAGGGAUUUAAGCAAAGGUGCCAUGACACAAUGGGGAUAUUGAACAAUCCCCUUUUGCUUUGACUGUUUCAUAGAUGGUGAAUAAUGAUGGGGCCAGAGUAGAAACAAAGGCAGUGAGAUUAAUUUGGAGGCACUCUUAUACACACAUGAGAGAUGGUUCUAGCUUGAACUAGGUGUAACAGUGAUGACGUCAGCACAUAGGGUCUAAUAUUUGUAAGAGAUCUUUUGAGGUAAGGUAUAAACCUCCACCUUGACUGUUACAUCUUUACCAUCAGAAACCAUGUCGGAUACUUCCUUCUACCUCCUUAUAAGCAUUUUUGUGCAUGAGUCAAUAAUGAAAAUAAAAAAUGCAUUUCCAGAUGAAUUUUAUACCCCCAACCCCCAAAGCUCUGCUUUCUAUUUCAACAGAUACUUAGAUCUUAGACUUUGGCAGAGGUGUACAUUUUGAGAAAAAGCAGAAGCAAAAAUUAACACGUCUAGUGUGAAAUGCAUUGCCGCUGUUUCAUUUCUCCUCCCUCAACAGAGCACUGCAUGCCACACUCAUUUUAGAGAUGAUCAGCUUUUUUUUUUUUCUUUGUGAUCUUGCCAAAUUGCAUUAGUUUCUAUAUUUAUCUCUUUUCCUCCCCUGGGAUUGACUCUUAAUGAUACAUUUGGGGAAUAGCUCCACCCUCUCUUCCUACAUUCCCUGCUAACCCUCUGUGUGUGCUUUUGAGGCACUAAAUUUAUGCUGUCUCUCUGUGUAGCACUGUGUAGUUUUGGACAUAUCAUUCCCUAACUGGGUUUCGUCUCAUCACAAAAUGUAUCAGUCACCCUAACUUUUCAUUAAGGGGUCAAGGAGGCAGAUGUUCCUCUGGGACUUGUUUUGUUGCAUAACUGUCAAACUGUAGGCGUUAGGAAUGGGAGGUACAGAGGGAGUGUAAGAGCUCUGAACCCCCAUAGACACCAUGCUUUGUCUCCAGAC